rnacentral:lncRNA from 1 species
GUGCUCUAGAAUUGUUUCCUCAGCAGGGUACACCCUUACUUCUUAGACACCUUUGCUUCUUAUCCCACAGGUAUAGCAGGCAUUUUAGUUUAGUUUCUAAAAUUCAACUCACUUUUCCCCUGAAAACUGCUUUUUCUCAGGCCAAGUAAAUGUCAACACCAUGGAUCCAUCAGCCUCAUCAGAAACUGGGGAGUCAUCGUCAGUCCUUUCCUUUACCUCCCUGCUCACCGGCCAUCCGUCCUGCAGAUUCCACCUCCUCAGAACCACUUGGUUACUGAGGUCCCCUCCGAUUCUGUUUGAUCACACUUACAUCCCUGACCGGGUCACUUCACCUGCCUGUGAGAUCCCUCUGCUUCUCCUUGACUACUUCCAAUCUGUCUGCCAUUCUGCCACCCAGACUCAUCUUCACCCAAUAAGUUCAUCUAGGAGGCUUUAACCACCCAAGGCCAACAGAUGGUAUCCAGGCGCUAAAUCAAGAAAGGUGGAACUACAUCCUCCUACUGACAACUGCAGGACAGGGCAGAAGCAGCCUGAGUCCAGGAUGGACAGUAAUGGACCUGGGCCAUGUAGGACAAGGCCUGAGAAGCCCCAAGUCAUCCAGCUGUCCCUGCCUUUGGCCCUUUAGAAGACACAGAGGGAGGAAACACUGGUAUACAGAGGCCAUCGUCCGCUCCUGAUGCCUUUCUGGGACCUCUGCCCUCCUCACUACCUAAGCCCACAAGCUCACCCAGCCAGGCUAGUUCUUACUGCCACCUCCCAGGCCUGCUUCCCUCAAUGACACCUAGGCCACCCAAGACCAGAGCAGACCGGAUGCUGGCCCUCAGCCCCCAAGGCCAUGUCUACACUAAAACCGAAGGAGCCUGGUUGAAACAGGAAUGCAGCUGCUUCAAACUCUCAGAUCUCCAAUCCCACUUAUGCCAGCCCCAAAAGCACAAAGGGAAGGGGCCUCACAUGAGCCAAGCCUAGCUGCUCCUUGGUGGUCCUACCAGCUGCUCUGGAAGGUGUGAUGACCACCAGGCAGACCUACGUGUUAUGGGCCACGUUCCCAACCCUUCAGAUUGCCGCGUGCAAGCCUCCAGGUGCUCAUUGCUGCUACUGACUCACCUGUGAAUGGACUCUAGACAGAAACUCUAAGGACAGAUGCAGAGUAAAAGGGACCUGCGGAGGUUCUAGGGCCCUAACUGUGAGAUGUGGGGAAAGAUCCUCAGACCAAUGUCAGUGCUAAUGCUAAAUGAGCACUGGGAUCCAGGAGAGGUGGUCACCCAGGAAAUGGAAAACUGAGCCCAGUUCUGUAAGUCUGCACAAGGCACUCAAAGGAGAUCUCAGUGUGCCACCUCCAGCUGCCAGAGACAGGCUCCAAAGGAUUUGAAGAGGAAGUCGGGGGUAAAACCAACACUGCUAAGUAGAUCUGGCCCAUUGAAAUGCCAGGGGGGUGGUGGUGGCUGAGGAGAGGAGCAACUCCAGAGAAAAAGCCUCAAACUCCCUGGGGACCCUGCAACUAAUUCCCUGUACCCCUUCUAUCCAGGCCACAGAUUUGAUUUCUGGCUUUUUCUCUUGCUCCCACAUUCUUAUGGCUACACUGGGGAAGGAAACAAAUAUCCACAGUUGACAGAGUAAAAGCUUUCCCAUUCCACACUCAAAGCCCUGGGUUAGCAACACUGUCCUUUGGAAACCUAUGGGCCUCCCCAUACUUCAGGACAAUCCAAUGCAGAGGGUCCCUGAACCUCCCUCUGAGGAAUGGGAAGAGGCCAUCAGCCAAACUCACCGGAGGCCCAGACACAGCCGGGACACACAGGUGAGGGAGCAGCAGUAAGCUCUUCCCCUGGCUGUCCCACCACUCCCUGUGGCCAGGGCUUCCCCUCCCACAAAGUCCAAACCGACUACAAACUCCUAAAUCGUUUGUUAUCUGUGCCACUCAAGUUAAAGCUCAAAUGCAUUAAAGUGCCUUGAUGUCAUCUCAGCCGCUCUGCUUCGCAGCACGGACCCUGGUGUGCGUGGUCUCAGCGUGGCGCCUCCUACUGACAGCUGCAGGACAAGGCAGAAGCAGCUGGGGUCCAGGACUGACAGGAAUGGUGGCAGACUUGGGUCACCUCCCCUGCCCCUUCCUUGGCCAUCCCCAGGCCAAUCUGGGCUCUCCUAAGUGCUCCCCAAACCAAUAGGAGGUGGGACCCUCACGCAGAGGACAGUGGGGAGGGGAGCCAUGGGGCAGGAAGCUGUGCCUUGUGCCUGGAGCUGAGGAAGGCACCCAGCCCAGGACAGGGACCCUCAGAACCCUAAGAUUAGAGGAGCACAUCGCAGAGCCAGUACCAGUGGCCCAGCUCUCCUGGUAGGCGCCCAGAGUCUCGCGAACCGGGCCACAGGCUGGGAGCCAAAGCUCCUGGGGCCCUGAAACCCCGCAGAGUGCGCUCUGGG